GACGAACGCUGGCGGCGUGCCUAAUACAUGCAAGUCGAGCGAAUCUUUUGGGAGCUUGCUCCCUUAAGAUUAGCGGCGGACGGGUGAGUAACACGUGGGUAACCUGCCUGUAAGACUGGGAUAACUUCGGGAAACCGGAGCUAAUACCGGAUAGGUUCUUUUCUCGCAUGAGGGAGGAUGGAAAGAUGGUUCUGCUAUCACUUACAGAUGGACCCGCGGCGCAUUAGCUAGUUGGUGAGGUAACGGCUCACCAAGGCGACGAUGCGUAGCCGACCUGAGAGGGUGAUCGGCCACACUGGGACUGAGACACGGCCCAGACUCCGACGGGAGGCAGCAGUAGGGAAUCUUCCGCAAUGGACGAAAGUCUGACGGAGCAACGCCGCGUGAGCGAAGAAGGCCUUCGGGUCGUAAAGCUCUGUUGUUAGGGAAGAACAAGUACGAGAGUAACUGCUCGUACCUUGACGGUACCUAACCAGAAAGCCACGGCUAACUACGUGCCAGCCGCCGCCGUAAAAC
rnacentral:rRNA from 1 species